CCAACAGCCCCUUUAUAAUUAUCCUGAGUAGCGCAGGAGCUACGCCUCUGUUGGUUCAGUAUCAACUCCGACAACAAGCUUCAUCUCUCCUCUCAUUUUUGACGUUUCUCCGGUCUUUCGCUGUCAUCCGGCGCUUCGUUUUUCUCGCUUGCCUCAUCGCAUCACACCCCCAGCCCCAGCAGCAAGUCAUUUCCACUCAUUUUCCUUCCUGUGCGGUCGCCGGGAAUCGAAGAGACAGCUUCUGCUGCGGCCAUUCUUUUUCUUGUGGCAGCAUUUUGCAAUUCUAUAGUGUGAACUAAGUGUUUGUGUUUAUGUGUUGUAGAAUUUAAGACGUGAAAGUAUCUUAUCAAACGCAGAAAAGACAGAAUGCUGUCCUCAAAACCGGUUCUCUCCGCCGCGCUGGUAGCAGCGGUGGGAUGUUUGCUCAGUGCCGGACUGGUCCGGGCUCACGAUGAGGACACCGCCAGUGUGGCCCUCACCAAGGACACCUUCCAAUCGGAGAUCGACGGAAGCAACUACUUCGUCAUGUUCUUCGCACCUUGGUGA